rnacentral:rRNA from 1 species
UACAGAGGUCUCGAGCGUUAGGCGGAAUCACUGGGCUUAAAGCGUGUGUAGGCGGGUCGGUAAGUACCUUGUGAAAUCCCACGGCUCAACCGUGGAACUGCUGGGUAUACUGCUGAUCUUGUGCAACCUAGGGGCGAGCGGAACAGAUGGUGGAGCGGUGAAAUGCGUAGAUAUCAUCUGGAACACCUAUGGCGAAGGCAGCUCGCUGGGACGGUACUGACGCUGAGACGCGAAAGCGUGGGGAGCGAACAGG